rnacentral:lncRNA from 1 species
GGGGAAUGUGUCAAAGAGACAACAACCCGCCCAAAUAAAAAACAACAGCAGAGGGUCACCAACAGGUCUUCAAUGUAGCGAGAAAUUCCCGCACCCGGAGGCGUCCUUCAGCUGGCCCCUAAACAAAUAUAUACUAGUCCAGCGACAAUGAACGCCAUACCAAUUUCCAAAUUGUACACAAGAAACUAAAAUUAAAAUAAUACAAGACCAACAAAGGCCAGAGGCUCCUGACUUGGGACAGGCGCAAAAAUGCGGCGGGGUUAAACAUGUUUGUGAGAUCUCAACCCUCCCCCUAUACCUCUAACCAAUGUUGUAAAGUAAACGCAUAACAA